rnacentral:lncRNA from 1 species
AGCUACCGAUAAGGUACCGUUAAGUUACCGUUAAGGCGGGUCUUACCGACAGUGAGUGCGCUAUCGGUAUUACCCGCCUUAUCGUUACUAUUUCUUGCCGGAACUUUAUCGAUAUCUUACCGACAACCGAUUGAACACCCCUACGUGGCCGUGGUUUCGUGUUUUCAUUUAUCUCGCUAAAAGAAAAGUUGAUGUGGAUGAAUGCUAAAUCAAAUUUGGUUGUUGAGUUGUGAAGUUUUCUGUCAUUUUGUCUAUUCUUGUGUGUUCAUGUUGUUGUGUGACUUGUAACCGUGUUACGUGAUGGUUCGUCUUCACAGAAGCAACCGCCAAGUCCAGAACAAGAAAUUCUGGCUUCAACUUGCAGAGCGCCCAAGAUGACGACGAUCGAAGAGACCUACGAAGGGGAGGUCACCCGAAAAGUCAAGCGGAGGACCAGCUUCAAAAUUCAUGAGGUGAUAUUUUACUCUACUUCCGGGAUUCGCAGGCCGAUUAGUAUGAAAUUGAUAGACAAAGCUAUAGGCAAAAAGGACAAGGGGAGAAUGGAUUGAUCCUAUUGAUUGAAAUGGGUGGUUCCUAUAGACUAAAAGAGUAAAUAAUGGAAUAACCAUAGGGUGUCUCGCGGCUUGCCUUUAGUUAGUCUGUUAUCUACCUCCUUUGUCCAUUGCAACCACCCGCUUCCACCAAUAGGAUCCCUCCAUAUCCGUUUUGUCUUCUUUGUAUAGAUCUUCGUCUAUCAAUUUCAAUAAUCGUCCCGCUGGUGUGCAACACGAUGAAAAGCUGAGUUCCUCAACGUCGUCAGUUUCUAUGACCAACAGUUUGUUUCAGUUCUUCUUACCAUUGAAAUUCGUUUGACAAUCCACAAAAAACCAUACUUACAGUGAGCGUAGCACCGUAAAAACUAAUAAAAGGGGAAGGUUACUUACCGCGAGUGAAAUUAUAACUUUGGAAAUAGAUCCUCUCAAGGGAUGAAAAUGAAAUACUUCUGUAAAAGAAAACAAGCGGGAAAGUGCUAAUACGUUCGUAGGUAUUAGACAAGCGCUCAGUAGAAAGAUUAUCGUCCUCCGUGGUUCGAUGUCAGAAGCAUUAAAUAAAGGUAUAACAGAAAUCUUUUCUAAAUAUGUGAGACCCCUAUCCGGUGAGAUCCGAAUGAGCCGGUGUACUAUUUCAUAACAAUGCCAUUAGUAUACUAAUUUUUUUAUUUAUGAAAUCGUUCAUUAGUAACACCAUUUUGAAAUAUGAUUGUAGAGAAAAGAGUAUCCAAGGUGUUAAAAUAUGUAUUCACUUAUUUAUUUAUUUAAUUAAUUUUUUUCUUUUUUUUCUUUCUUUUGUAUUCUAGUCAUAUUGUUUCAUUUAAGUCGAAAUUCGUAAGAGUAAAGGACGAAUGUAUGCUGAAAGGAAGUAUAAGCAUAGAGUUAACGUGCAAUACAUAUAAUUCCUUUUAGCAUAAAUACGCCCGUUGUUUCUUUUAUGAUUCCAUAUAGAAGGCCUCCUUAAACAUCCUUUAGCCACCCCUGAAAUAUUCCGUACUCAUCCCUUAAUUAUCCCUAUAAUGUGAACUAUGUACAUAAAAAGCGACAAUGAAUACGGCCCCAAAGCAUCAAUAUCCAAAAUGAUUGCAACUUCCAAUUAGGAACUAUAAUUUCAGACUCAUGCUAGAAACAUACUUUGUGACAUAAGUCUCCAUGUGCAGGGAGAUGAUUUGGACUGCAUUUUGCAAUUAGGAGCUACAAGAUCUGACUCAAUUUAGGAACAACAUAAGUACUAUUAGUUUCCCUGUGCACAUAAGUAUUUUUACAGAUGAGCCAGCAACUAAAGAUCCAAAU